UAAAUUUCAGGAAAAUACAGAACUGUUGAGCAGAAUGUGGGCUAAAAUUAACAACAAACCAUUGCCAAAUCAAUAUGGGCCAGAAAUAAGAAAAUUUGCCGUUACAACACAUUUCUACUCCCCAAAGGCUUUUUCUUUUAUAAGAAAACAAUUCAUGGACUGUCUUCCACACCCAAAAACUUUGUCUGUAUGGUAUUCUUCAGUGAAUGGUGCACCAGGUUUCACAAUGUUCGAUGAAGUUGCUAUUAAACGCUGCAUUGAAUAUGA